rnacentral:rRNA from 1 species
CAGCAGCCGCGGGAAUACGUAGGGUGCAAGCGUUAUCCGGAAUUAUUGGGCGUAAAGAGCUCGUAGGCGGUUUGUCGCGUCUGCUGUGAAAACUGGAGGCUCAACCUCCAGCCUGCAGUGGGUACGGGCAGACUAGAGUGCGGUAGGGGAGAUUGGAAUUCCUGGUGUAGCGGUGGAAUGCGCAGAUAUCAGGAGGAACACCGAUGGCGAAGGCAGAUCUCUGGGCCGUAACUGACGCUGAGGAGCGAAAGCGUGGGGAGCGAACAGGAUUAGAUACCCCCGUAGUCCCUGUCUCUUAUAC